GGACGGUAGCGCUGAAAAGUAUCCAGUGUCGUGCACGAUUUGGAGCUCCUGGAAGAUGCUGCACAUGGGAAUGACGUCCAUCUCACCAGCGAGACAAGCGUCGGGGUUUUUUUGUUGUUGUUUUUUUAACGGACACGGUGCGCGCUGCCGAUGGUGGUUUUGGCGAGCCCACGAUACGAGGACCAGAAGCAGGACCGAAGUAAGACUGAAGGAGGUCUGCUCCGGUCUGUCAGCUCCUCUGAACUCAACCUCGUCCCCCCCUUCCUGCUCUUCUUGCACACACUCCCCGCUACACACGAACAUGCGCCGCUUGACCGCGACCACCAAUCAGAUUGCAGGAAUGAGGAGCCCGCCUACCUCCACAGCUCUGACCAAUGAGAGGACUCAGUCUGAGCCACUGGUCGCGCCUGAUUGGUUAUAGCGGCGGAGCGACUGCCGUCGCUCAUUGGACCGCUGAGGUGCUAUUUUUAGGCCGCCAUAUAAGCGCAACACAACCCGGAAGCGAGAGAGAGAAGAGAGCCCCGCCGAACCUCCACCGAGCGGCGGCAGUCUGAGCACAGGAAAGCCGAAACCAGGCGCCCGUCUCCGGCUGUGAGAACACGCCCAUGCAGCGAAAAGGCUGCAGGCAAUCACACAUCAGUGCACCUGGUACUGACGAAAGGGAGCGGCAUAAAGAGCCAGCGAAGCCAGGAGACUUUCGCCAGAACGUAGCCGAUCUCCCCUGAUGUCUUCCGUGAUCGUGUCUUGCCUCACGACCUCUUCCCGGAUCUUUGCUUGCCUUCCCCGAUCCUCGACCGCUGCUUGGACCCGGACAUCGUUGCCUUUCUCCAGCUCCUUACUGACGGCCUUCUUGCCUUCCCCCUUGGAUUCGACGAAAGAUACAUUCGACACGCACCGAUAACAUCCUCUGUAUCCAAUCACAAGUUGUGAUUUCCGAAAGCAGAAAGUGGCAAGGCAGCCAUACCACGCCAGCGGAGAAAUCAGUGGCACUCUCAGGCUUGGUCUUGGUCUUGGGUUGUUUUCCCGAGGAGCGAAGCGAAUGGAGGGGAAAUGGCGUGAAGUGUUUUCCUUCCUUUGCCUUGGUUUCGAGCUGUGCGUCUCGCUCCUUGGACUCCCCCCCGGAUCUCAACUGCCUUCCUGGAUCUCGACCCCCCCCUCGCAUGGACACAGACUCUGACGCUUCUCUCCCGCCCUGGAUCACCUGCCUGCCCUAUGGACUACCUCGUUCCUUCGCUCUCAUCAACACUUGGAAACACACUUCAGCUAAUCGACACACAUAGUCACACACAUACGCUCUUGGAUUUUGUCACACACCAUUCUAUUGUUUAUAAGUAUUGUUUUGUAUUAUUAUAUACAUGUCCCCUAGGAGGUGGGGUUCUCAUAGUCAUCAGUGUCACUGUCACCGACGUCCCACUGGGGUGAGUUUUCCUUGCCCUUAUGUGGGCUCUACCGAGGAUGUCGUUAUGGUUUGUGUUGUGGUUUGUGCAUCCUUUUGAGACACUAGUGAU